rnacentral:rRNA from 1 species
UGGGGAAUAUUGCACAAUGGGCGAAAGCCUGAUGCAGCAACGCCGCGUGAGUGAUGAAGGUCUUCGGAUUGUAAAGCUCUGUCUUUUGGGACGAUAAUGACGGUACCAAAGGAGGAAGCCACGGCUAACUACGUGCCAGCAGCCGCGGUAAUACGUAGGUGGCGAGCGUUGUCCGGAUUUACUGGGCGUAAAGGGUGCGUAGGCGGAUGUUUAAGUGAGAUGUGAAAUACCCGGGCUUAACUUGGGUGCUGCAUUUCAAACUGGAUAUCUAGAGUGCAGGAGAGGAGAAUGGAAUUCCUAGUGUAGCGGUGAAAUGCAUAGAGAUUAGGAAGAACACCAGUGGCGAAGGCGAUUCUCUGGACUGUAACUGACGCUGAGGCACGAAAGGCGU